AAAUAGACAAUGUCUGUAUUACAGCAUUCACAUUGGUCUUUCAAUAGUCAUCAUAGUGGUCUGAAUCUCAUCAUUUAGAAAGGGAAUCUUUGCAGCCACGAUGGAAGCCAGUGGUGUAUUUAACACAACCACACAAUUAACGAAGAUGGACGAGACACUGCCCUGGUCUCUCCAGGUGGUCAUCAUCACGGCCGUUGUUGCUGUGUUCAUCGUCUUGUGUGUUCUCAUCUUUCUGGUUGCUAGGAGACUAAACAGACGCCUGGAGCCUAAUAACUCGUGGAUGUCAAAUCAAAAAAUGCUACCACCAUAUAGGCCUAUUCCAGUGCAUUCAAAUUUUGCAGGUCCAUUUAUUAGCCCGGAAAUACUCGGCUAUCCUAAGAUGGACAAAGACGGUAAAGCUGACAUUGUUUGAGUCUCGCUGAGUUCGAAACCAUUGAGCCCCAACUUGCCAAUUGAUCUGUCAUCUAGUGCUCAUCAUCUGCAGAUAUACAUUUCAAGAAUUUUUGUUUUACUUAGGCCUACACUUAAUUACAGCAACAACAAAAUGUGCUAAAGAGUAUUGGUCUUGUAUAAAAACGCUGUGAAAGGAGCCAAGCCGGCAUAAGUAUUUGUAAUCACUUCUACAAAGUAGGCACAUUAGCCUAACAGAUUUCUACUCGAUUUCUACAACUGAAAUAAUGUUAGGCUACAUCUCAAUAGCCCAGUCAUCAAACUUUGGAACCACUCGAUCUGAUGUACCGCAUUUUUUUACUACUUCUGUGAUAUGUUUUUUAUGUGUACAGAAUUGUAUUUAAAACUGUUAUUUUGAAAUGUUCAAAAGAAAUGUGCGUCUCUUCUAAAUCUAUUUACCAUGCUCCAUUUAUGGCGUCCACGAUUACUAAUGAGGGGCGGACUAGUCGACUUUUGUGUGAUGGGGAGGGGGCGUCAAUGUGGACGUCCCAAGUUGUAUUUUACACCAACAUGUUUACAUUAAAAGAAUUUUUUAAGUAGUCUGUUCUGUAGAAAAAAAGCUGGUUAACUGGUUAACUAAGUAUUAGUUAAAUCACUGUAUCCACUUCAUAUAACAUAUUGCUAUGUGGGAAACAACAAAUGGCUAAUUAUAAUGCAACAGACGACUAAAUGAAUAUGUUAUUCGUUUCCUUCUAAAGGUAACAUAGAAUUCCCACCAGUUUUUAUUUGAAUUGAAAACAAUUAGAAUAAACAAGCGCUCAUCAUUAGUUAACCUCUAAGUACGACAUAAUCUAGAAUAUACCUAGAAUAUAUAGUAACAGACAUUUCCGUAGAGAAUAAGCGGGCUAACCAUUAUAUAAAUUAUUCGAAUUGCAGUGUACAAAUAGGACCUACUAUGUACUAUAUAAAGUAAGUUAUGAAAGACCGAUUAUAUUUGUGUGGACGUCUACAUCUCGUUGAAGUGGUGGGGUGGCGUUUCUAAUUGGAUACUUAUGAACAGGGGGGGGGGGGCAAAAGCUCCUUUUUGUGGACGUCAUAAGUAAUGAAACAUCCCCGUAUGUUUCCCAAUCCUGGCUGUGAAAAUAAUAUGGUCACAUUAAGUAGUUAUCAUUCUUGAUGCAGUAUUUAAAAUGUAUAAAUAUCAUAAUUAUUGUUUUGUAACCUUUCUUUAAAAUUAAUAAAUAUAGGCAUAUCCACAACUGUAUAACCUAAUCGCUGGCUAUGACAGGUUGGUAAACCUUAAGGCUAGUAUAUGGGUUAAGACUGGUUGUAGGAAAAGAUACGGCCUGGUGAUGUUGUCGGCAACAUUGACUUACGUGGAUAGAGACUAUGUUACCCAUCCUUGUGGCUAAGUUAUAUUCACAAAUAUCAUGUACACUCAGUGGCGUAGCGAGGUCGGGUGUCACCCGGUGUGGCACUUAAUGGCGUCACCCCCCAGAGGCGUAGCCACCCUUACCGGGGACAAACUUUCAAAUUUUCGAUUUGCA